GCUUCCUCCUUAGUGAUGGGGCUUCCGGGACCUCAACCCUUUGCAGUGGCUCUGAUGUAUCCAGGAGGGUCUCUCUGCAAUUUUACAGGCUGUGGGUGUCGUCAAUAAUACUUGGUGUCAACCUGCAAGAGACUGGAGAGUCUUACGGCAGUUUAUUGUUCAAAACAAUAUCCUUAUUUUCUAGUAGUUUUGCCAUCCAUUCUGCCAGAGUUGUUUCUCUGACGGAUUUUUCUAAAGGUUCACUUUUUACAACUGAGAUUGCAUCUGCUUUUUACACUGGAUAAAUCUAUAAUCACUAGAGUAUAAAAGUGUGUAUUAAGGACCUGGACUAUCCCCCCCCCUGAGGACACAUGGGUCACCCCAUGUGUCACUAAUGCUGCUGUUCUGCACAGGGACUUGGGGAGUAUCGGUUUACUUUCACAAGUCAUCAAAUCAUAUUAUUUUGGGUAUUCUGAUGAUUAAAUUGUGCCCUAAAGCAAUGUCAGCUGACUUUCUUACUGCUUCUGCUGCGGCUGCACAGGCCUGCACGUCCAUCUACGUGUAAGUAGAAAGGCUUAUCAUAAUCAGGCAAAGCCAAAACUGUAUUUGUCUCUAAUGCCAGUUUCAAGUUACUGAAUGCUUCUUCUGCUUUCUUCUUUGUAGAUGCAACACUACAUUUUGACUUAGGGCAUUUUAGGCAAUUCCUAUUUCUCAAAGAAUUCAUACAUCUUACAUAUUUCAAACUUUUAAGUUAAGGAAAAACUUUGCAUUGCUUACAGCUCAUAGCUCACAGCUCUGAGCUGUAAGCUCAGACAAAAACAAAACAAAUUGCCUAUGGCACCAAGGCUUUAUGUUCAUAUUAAUUGAGUGUAAGCUGCUUUCUUCAUUGCAAGUGUUUGUUUCAAUAAGGUUUAAUUCAUGCAUCUUAUCACUGAGUUCUAAAUUCAAACUAUCUCACUUCUGAUUCAUUUCAAAAAUAAUCUCACAUGUAACAAUUUGUAUGUGUGUUUUCUAUUUAUUAAGGUAAUGACAAUUAUUGCUUUCAUUAUUCUUACCUUUUCUAAUGUUUACCUCUUUGUUAUGCUGUGGUGGACAUCCCUAAACAGUCAUGAGUUCAGGUUUCAACUUUCAAUCCAAUUAUAUCCUAUAUUCUCGCAGUCAAACUCGUCCAGCUUCAUCUCUCACCGGUCUCUCUUUCAUUCACAGUGUCCUGUUCGUGCUUCAAAGCUCCAGCAAACACAGUCUCAACUCAGCUGUUGUCUUCUUCUCUGUUUCUUUACAGUCUUUCUUUCAGAUUAAGUCCCAGCAUGGCAAAAUAUCACUCAAUGUCCAGUGCUCUUCCACAAUUCUUUAUCCCACUGUUCAACUGCCCAGCCUGUAUUUUCACAGUACAUGUUGCAUUACUCUUACAUGCUGCUGCUGGUCGUCAGUCGUCAUCAGUGUUAAUGGAUCAGUGGCACUGCCGUUUGCCUGCUGUAUUCAAGUCCACGAUGUUCUAUCGGUCUUCAUCAGGCAAUUGACUGUCCUUUGAACUUCUUCUCAGUUUCAGGGACAAAGUGAGAGAUCAAACUGCACAAUUUCGAGCCAAAAACUGGCUUAUUUUCUCCCAAUUCUGUUAAUCUGCUCUUCUGCUGCUGAACUCAAGGUUGCAAAGUUGAAAGACGCCCACCUGUAUUGACACACUAAAGCAUAUAAUUUAGUAUUAUAUUCAUUUUUUCUUAAAGGCUUCAUUUGCUUCAUGGGCCUCAUCUGUCUCUCUGUGUUCUUUCUGUACACACUCAGUUCCCAUAUAUGGGCAUGCAAAGUUCCUGUUCACUAUUUCCUGUCGCUGCAGCGUCGGUACACAGAGCCAUAUUUCCUGUUUCUUCAAACUAAUCUAACUCUUUUGUUUUUUUUUUUUCUUUCUAUUUAUAAUCUACAGACCCUCUUUAAUUCUACUAAAUCUCUUUAAUUCUACUAAAUCUUGAUCUAAAACCAACACCUUUAUGUCAUUCACACUUUUAAACAUUCUAACCUCUUUUGUCAUUCAGUAAUCGUCUCACACACACUGCCUUUUCUCUCUCAAACUUCCAUUUUCCACUCACUCAGACAAAUCAUGCAGAGUCACUCAAAUCAAAUACUGACAGCAUUCACACGGUUAAAAUCACUUAAAAUACGCUUUCAUACGAGUAUUUUAAACAUGCCUUCCAUGAUCAGAAAGAGCAAGUCAAAAGAAAAAGAAAAAGAAAACUGAAACCUCUCAUCAUCCUCACGGCUUCUCAUUUGCAUUCUCACACACACACCGUCUAAAAAUAGAAUCAGCAGCCAGUGCACUGUUGUGUUGUCACAAACCUGUAGCUUUAGCUGUUGUAUUCAGGGCUUGACUUAUUAUUUAUUAGUAUAGGUUUACAGACAGGUCAGGUGUCUCUAUGCACUUGAUUAGAUUAGGUAUUUUCCUUAUUUUUUCAUCGCAUAUAUCAUUGUACUGAGUUUGAGCAAACCUUAAGCUUGAAUCAGACUACUUUUAACAAUUAUCCACCUCACAUCAUAACUGACUGAGGUGUCUCUUAUUAUUAAUAUUAUGUCAUUAUUAAUGUUAUCAUUGUAUUGUUUUUCCUUUAUUAUAACAGCAAUAGUAUAUUACAAUAUACUACUAUACUACUAAUAUACAAUAGAUUAUUAUUUUAUAUUUUAUUAUGUAUCCAUCACGGGUCUGUGUGAACCUGCAGCUUCACACCUUCCCAAGCUGGAGACAUUUUCCUUGGCUGAACAAUGACGCAGCCGUAAUAUGCCUUAUGCAUCUCU
ensembl:lncRNA